UCCAAGGAACACCACCUAAAACAGACAACUCUCCAAAAAUUGGACAGUAUGUAAAUAAGAUAUCUUCCUAUGAUAUUUCUUUCAUUCAAUAUUUGAGUGACUAUUAUGCUAAGCAUUGUGCUAAGAACUGAAGAUAAAAUUAGGGGCAGAACAGACACAUACGGCUGGGAGUUUAAUGGAAAAAACAGACACAAGCAAAAUCAUCAUAGAAAUGUGAAAUUUAAAAUUAUUAUAACACUAUGAAGAAACAUUUGCCAUGAGCGCAAAUAACAGGAAAACCAAACCUAGUCUGAAGUCAGAAGCUUCUGUAAGGAAACACUGGCUUGAACAGAGAGAACUGAAGGAGAAAGUGAGCCAACUACAUAAGAACAGGAGAGAGACAUCCAAGAAGAGUUAACUGGGCAUAAAAAUUCAACUGUACCAAUUCUACUUCCAAACAUAGCUGCAAGCCUUCUCCUGCAAACAGGAAAAAAAAAAAAUCAAGAGAUCAGGAAACACUGACCUGAUGGAGAGAGGAUAUUCAUCUAGCAGCUCUACUGCAGAUAUUCUACCGACCCUCUCAUGUCCUUUCACGCAGUUUUGUGAACUAUGUCUAAGACCUGUCACAUUACAAAAGCUAUGAAUUCCAGAUCUGGUAUGGGAAUGGAUAUGGCCAGGAACUGGGCAUCU